rnacentral:lncRNA from 1 species
UGUUGACAGUGGGCUGGGUUUGGCCUGGUCAUUAGGUGUGGAACUCCCGGCUUGUGGUAAAUCCUGAUUGGAAAACAGUAUAAACAUAUUUCCUGGUAAAUGGGUAAACAUAUAGAGAGAUGGUGGUUGUUCCCCUCCCGUCACCAGCACACCGUAGAAGCAAUUGGAAGCAAUUUAGGUGUGCUCAGCAUCUGGCCCUCAUAAAAGGCCUCGAGUGAGUCAUGAUUUUGCACCAACAGAGAAGGCUUGUCUCGCUUGUGGAGAGAAUUGUAUUUGCCUCCCAUUUUGCCCAUGAAUCUCUCCACUGCUUUAUGAUGAUCAGUCUGAUUUGUGUGCCGAGAGACUGUGACGCUGAACUCAAAGGCCACAUCCCUGUCCCCCCCUGGGGUGGGAAAGCACACGGUGACUCUCUGAUCAAGGCUCAGGGUGCCCUGUGUCGUUGGUCCCCCCAGAAGUUCCAGCCAAGGCCAGCUCUGGUUCCUCGGGGCCAUGCGCUCUGCUGUGGGAGCAGGUGGGUUGUUAGUUGGAUGAACGGCUUCCUGCUAAGGGGGGAGGGGGAACUAGAGAGCAGCCGAAUGGCCCCCCAGACUGGCAGGUGGGAGAGGCCUGUGCCCAUGGACGUGCUCUUGGGCUGCGUCUGAAAGCCUGAGGGCUUUGGGGUUGGUCAGCCCUGGGGAGGGUCCUGGCUCUGCCUCUUACCAGCAGCAUGACCUUGGGUUGUCUGACCUUCAGUUUCCCCAGCAGUAAAAUGUGGAUUAGAGGGCUCCCUUUAAAGGGCGGCUGUUGGGACUGUUAACUGAGCCAAUUUAGGGGAAAGGUGCCCGGCACCUUGUGUCGUGCCUUGUACACAACCGAGUGGAAGGCAGCCACUCUCUCCAUGGAGGGAGUGGGCUGAUCUCCGGGGGAGCUAGUUAGGCUUUCAGCAGUUUGUGUGUCCCAUCCCCUAAACCCACACUGUAGUCGAUCAUGUAUUCAUUUGUUCAGAAAAUGUUUUCUAAGCAUCCACUGUGUCAGUGGCCGGGGACAGACAUGGACAAGACAGGCAGUGUCCUUGCCCUCAUGGAGCUCAGAGUUGAGCUGGAGCCAUGUGGCUGGGAAGUAUCUGGACAGUCGCAGAGGGGGCAGGGGCAGGGGACCAGAGCCAGAGCUUCCCCACGGAGUCUGUAGAAGCAUUGGCCUCCUCUUCAUGUGUAACAGCUGCUUAGGGAAUUGUCUAGCAUAUUCCCUCCUGGGGGGUCAGGAAAGGCUGGGCUGCAGACUGCUGAGAGGAGGGGGUGGGCGGUGCCAAGGUCCUGGGGGGGCUUCCCACCUGGUGCUGGCAAGACCCCACCUCCUUUGCCAGAGACGAACUGCUGCUUCCAGCCCAGAGUUUAUGGGAUACUUUACUUGUUAUCUGAGGCAUUUACAGGGUGUUAGGUGUUGCCGUGUCUUCCAGGGACAGUAAAGGUAACACAGACCUGUUCCAGCUCCCAGCCCACUGACUCACAGGUCACCUUGAGGCCGGGCAGAUCAGUGAGCACUCUGGGCUCUCCUGGGAAGCGGUAAGAGGAGUGCCCAGGUCCACAUAUAGUACUUAGUAAGCGGGCUCGCUGCCAGUCUGCUUGGUAGGACGCCCAAGGUAUAGCUGUCCUGGGGACUGGG